GACGAACGCUGGCGGCGUGCUUAACACAUGCAAGUCGAGCGGUAAGGCCCUUUCGGGGUACGACGAGCGGCGAACGGGUAGAGUAACACGUGGGUGGACCUCGCCCUCCAGCUCUGGGAGUAAGCCUGGGAAACCGGGGUACUAAUACUGGAUAUGACUCCAUGACGCAUGUUGGUGGGGUGGGAAAGACCUUGUGCGGCUGAGGAUGGGCCCGGCGGCCUAUCAGCUUGUUGGU
rnacentral:rRNA from 1 species